ACAAGUAUUUGGCUGUGCUUAAAUUUUCUUAUGGUGUUAUUUAUUUGAUUUUGUUGAGCAGGGUAUCUACUUACACAAUUUAAAUGUGAUGCUUGUUUUAUCGUAAUUCCUUUUAUGUGAAGUACUAAAUAGGACAAUAUAAAGUCUCAGUCUUUAAGACAAAGACCAUAGCUGAAAUUGGGCAUGUGACGUUUGUUACUAAUACAAGUCGAGGUGACCAAAAUCACGAGGAAAACCAAACAAUGAAUAUUUAUUUAUCUCUUUAUUUUUAUAGAAAGUUUGGGAAAAUAAUUUAUAGUAAGACUAUAUAUUAAAAACUGCACUAUAAGUGAGACAAGAUUACUAAACUAUUCAAUUUAAAUGUGUAAUAUUAUCUUAAUAACUAAAUUA
rnacentral:lncRNA from 1 species